AACGCUAGCUACAGGCUUAACACAUGCAAGUCGAGGGGCAGCAUUUUAGUUUGCUUGCAAACUGAAGAUGGCGACCGGCGCACGGGUGAGUAACACGUAUCCAACCUGCCGAUAACUCGGGGAUAGCCUUUCGAAAGAAAGAUUAAUAUCCGAUAGUAUAUUAAAACCGCAUGGUUUUACUAUUAAAGAAUUUCGGUUAUCGAUGGGGAUGCGUUCCAUUAGUUUGUUGGCGGGGUAACGGCCCACCAAGACUACGAUGGAUAGGGGUUCUGAGAGGAAGGUCCCCCACAUUGGAACUGAGACACGGUCCAAACUCCUACGGGAGGCAGCAGUGAGGAAUAUUGGUCAAUGGACGAGAGUCUGAACCAGCCAAGUAGCGUGAAGGAUGACUGCCCUAUGGGUUGUAAACUUCUUUUAUAUGGGAAUAAAGUAUUCCACGUGUGGGAUUUUGUAUGUACCAUAUGAAUAAGGAUCGGCUAACUCCGUGCCAGCAGCCGCGGUAAUACGGAGGAUCCGAGCGUUAUCCGGAUUUAUUGGGUUUAAAGGGAGCGUAGGUGGAUUGUUAAGUCAGUUGUGAAAGUUUGCGGCUCAACCGUAAAAUUGCAGUUGAAACUGGCAGUCUUGAGUACAGUAGAGGUGGGCGGAAUUCGUGGUGUAGCGGUGAAAUGCUUAGAUAUCACGAAGAACUCCGAUUGCGAAGGCAGCUCACUAGACUGCAACUGACACUGAUGCUCGAAAGUGUGGGUAUCAAACAGGAUUAGAUACCCUGGUAGUCCACACAGUAAACGAUGAAUACUCGCUGUUUGCGAUAUACAGUAAGCGGCCAAGCGAAAGCAUUAAGUAUUCCACCUGGGGAGUACGCCGGCAACGGUGAAACUCAAAGGAAUUGACGGGGGCCCGCACAAGCGGAGGAACAUGUGGUUUAAUUCGAUGAUACGCGAGGAACCUUACCCGGGCUUAAAUUGCAUUUGAAUAAUCUGGAAACAGGUUAGCCGCAAGGCAAAUGUGAAGGUGCUGCAUGGUUGUCGUCAGCUCGUGCCGUGAGGUGUCGGCUUAAGUGCCAUAACGAGCGCAACCCUUAUCUUUAGUUACUAACGGGUUAUGCUGAGGACUCUAGAGAGACUGCCGUCGUAAGAUGUGAGGAAGGUGGGGAUGACGUCAAAUCAGCACGGCCCUUACGUCCGGGGCUACACACGUGUUACAAUGGGGGGUACAGAAGGCAGCUACCUGGUGACAGGAUGCUAAUCCCAAAAACCUCUCUCAGUUCGGAUCGAAGUCUGCAACCCGACUUCGUGAAGCUGGAUUCGCUAGUAAUCGCGCAUCAGCCAUGGCGCGGUGAAUACGUUCCCGGGCCUUGUACACACCGCCCGUCAAGCCAUGAAAGCCGGGGGUACCUGAAGUACGUAACCGCAAGGAGCGUCCUAGGGUAAAACUGGUAAUUGAGGC
rnacentral:rRNA from 1 species